UAUUUUUAAUGUUGUAUUGAUAACAGGUGCCAUUGAAGGAAAUGUAUGCAAAAUAAUUUCCGUUUCCUUGUGUUGCAAACGUGAGAAAGAAAUUAUUACAAAGUAAAUAGAAAUUAAGUAUACAAUGAUGUGAUGCAAUUUUGGAAGGUAUUGUCACGGAAGUGGUAACAACACCUGCUGCAACAUCUAGGAUGACCCGUGAUAUCUCCGUAUCACUGACAUGAAGCUGGCAUUGACACUUCAACAGUUCUAUCAAUGACUACAAUAUCAGUACAAUCUCACAGAAAGAUAAAGAAAACAAAAUAAAAUGCAAUGCAUCGUUUACAGAAAUGGAUGUAGGGCUCAAGGCGGGUGUGAUCCGUUGACAGGAGAUCCAUACUCCUCCCCAGGUCAAAGUUUUGGAAAACCCAAGCCAUUCUUGUCACACAAAAUCUGAGAGCUGGUGAACAGUCGGGUAAUCUGCUGCACGGAAAUCAUCAAAGAAAACUGUUUAGUUAGAAGGUUUAGACGUUUUCCGGUUUGCUCCAUACCUUCAUGGAGGAACUAAUUAUGCUAAGGUAUAUAUGAAGUUUGUCGUCAGAAAAUUACAGUAAAACAUCGUUGAAUCUCAUGCUGGUCUGUUUAUAAAACUCUGUAGCGUAUCACAUGUUGAUCAUGUUUUCAUCAGAUGUUUGAAUAUACAUAGUACAUGCAGUUGUCCGCAGAAAUGAGUAAUACUUUUGUAAAUUUUUGCUUCAUGUUCAAAUCGUUUUUUUCUUCUUCAGAAAAGGCGGACAGGUCAAUUCAAAAUGAUGAAUAUCCAUCAGAUUUGAAAUAAUAUGGACUGAUUUUUCAACAAUACAAAUUUUAUUUGUAAAGAAGACUUGUUUAUUUUAUUUUAUUACAGUUCAGGU